GCAAAGUACAUUUCAUUUCACAUAAAUUCAACAUUCACUCAUUCAAGUGUCUAGUAUAAAAUAAAUGAUAUUGGAGUUCCCUUCGUGGCGCAGCAGAAAAUGAAUCCGACCAGUAUCCAUGAGGACAUGGGUUUGAUUCCUAGCCUUGCUCAGUGGGUCGACCAUCUGGCAUUGCCAGGAACUGUGGUGUAGGUCACAGAUGGGGCUAGGAUCUGGCAUUGCUGUGGCUGUGGCAGUGGCUGGCAGCUUUAGCUCCAGUUUGACCCCUAGCCUGGGAAUUUCCAUGCACUGCAGGUGCAGCCCUAAAAAGCAAACAAAUUAAAAAAAGAAAAAAGAAAGAUAUUCAGUUCUGGUAAAAUUUUAGAGAAGUGAGAAAUAGGUCAUCUUUCAUAGGAACAUAAAGCUUACACUAUAAUAAACAAACUGUAAUGAAAGGUGAAAAAAUAAGUAUUUCCUGAAGACCUAACUAUGUUACCCAUCAGAUAGGUUUAAUUAUUUUCAUUUUAAAGAGGAAUAAUCAGAGGUUUAGAAGGGUUGUACAGUUUGUCCAAGUUCACGUAGACAUAGAUUCAGAUAUAAGAUUGAAAAUUUAAUUCUGACUCAUUGUAAAGCCAGUGCCACAUCGAGUAAGCCACUUGACUCACAUAAGAGAGUUCUUUGGAGAUACAGGAUGAAGUGUCAGAACUGUAAGGAAUAGGUCGAAUUUGAUGUAUGCUCCUCAACCCAGUAAGCUCUCAGUCUGAAAUGACCACACUCUAAAAUUUCAUUUGUCACAACUUUAUCUCCAGUGCAAAUAAAGGAGCAUGUGGAUCUUCAUCAGUUUUCCCUGAAUGACUAGCAUUUGAGAAACUGAAAGAAAACAUAUCCGAGUGUUGAAGUUAGCACAGGAUUCAUUGACUGCUUUUGAGAGAACAAUUCUAUAUGUACCUCUUUACCUCUCUCAAUCAAUAAACAAUUGUUACUGAGUGAACUCUCAUUCUUUUAUGUUGUACAAACCAUAUCACAGUCACUUGAAAACCGUAUUAUUUACAUGUGUUUGGAUGGAGCUAAGCCUCUCCGCUGUUCAGGAUGCUUCGAUUGAAUCUACAUGCAUCAUUUGUUGAAUCAAGAUCAGUGACUUAAAUGUCAAGGUCUCUACCAAAGGGCUGAUGGACUCCUGUCUUUUACUGAAGCCCCCUUGAUAAAUGAAGAAGGUAUAGUCUUGCAGAGGGAUGGACAUGAUUCGAUGUGACUAGAAGAAAAACACAUGUUAGAAAAAUUACUAAAUGCUAUUAAACAAUAUAAAAACUCAUCCCUAAAAGUCCUUUAGCCCAAAGCACAUUUGUGGACAGUAAGUGUUCAGUUUGAUUGUUGUGUGAUAUACACACAGGUGAUGUUCUAGGGAUGACAUGAAUGUCAGGACCGAGAAAUUGAAUUACUAGGGGAUAAUUUGAUUAUAGGGGGCAUAGAGAAUAAUAAUUGCAGCUAUGCUUUAGAAAGACUAUCUGUGAGUCAAAUGUAGGAUGGAUUAUAAAGUGAAGAGUGAAGACAGUGACUCUAGCCAGAAGGCUCUUUGAAGAAUUCGAGCAAAGUUAAGAGGACUUCAGAUUAAGUCAGUGGUAAUGGAAAAGAAGUGCUGCAUUUGGAUUCUCGUGAAGAUUCUAUUUCCACUGAAGGAGUCGGAAGAUUGGAAAUAGAUGGUAAGACAGCAGAAUACAUCAUGCCUUUUAGUAUUUGAGCUCUAGAAAUUCAGCUUGGUUUGAGUUUGCAUAUAAUAAUUAACAUUUUUAUUUAUUUUUAUGGGUGUGUAAUUGAAGUACAGUAUUGUAUGUUACACAUGUACAAUCUAGUGAUUCCUAAUUUUAAAGGUUAUACUCCAUUUAUAGUUAUUAUGAAAUAUUGGCUGUAUUUAUUUCCUGUGUUGUACAAUAUAUCUUUGUAGUUUAUUUUAUACAUAACAGUUUAUACUUCUUAAUCCCCUCUCCCAGUCCUUUUCCUCACUGGUAACCCCUAGGUGUGUUCUAGUUAUGAGUCUGUUUCUUUUGUGUUAUUUUCACUAGUUUGUUGUUGUUUUGUUGUUGUUUUAGAUUCCAAGUAUAAGUGCUAUCAUACAGUAUUUGUUUUUCUUUAUCUGACUUAUUUCACUUAGCAUGAUAAAUUCCAUAAUGUGUGUAUAUAUACUUGUGUGUAGGAUGGAUUAUUAUAUAUGUAUCGCAUGUUUGUUAACCACUCAUCUGUUAGUGGACAUUUAGUUUUAAAGAUGAAAGUAGGUUACUCUCGUAAUAGUAAUGGCAAGACAUAAUCACUGGAAGUUCAGAUCACUGUCUUUGGAGAUACUUUCCAUGAUAGUAAAAGCUAAUGGUAUGUGAUUCAAGAUCUUUUCUCUCUGCUACAACAACCAGCAGUGUUCUGAGGCCAUUCCACCACUUCGAUCAUAAAGUAAAUAUAAUGGGGACCAAACAGAGCCAAUAUGCAAUGGAUAUGUAGCCUGAGCAGCAAAGAACCUUUCCCAUUUUUCAAAGCAUUGCUUAAAAAUAUGACUUUGCAAAUCAAGAACGUAUCCAUCUUGGGAAUUCCCAUUGUGACACAGUGGAAAUGAAACAAACCAGCAUGUAUGAGGAUGCGGGUCUGAUCCCUGGUCUUGCUCAGUGGGUCUGGGAUCUGGUGUUGCUGUGAGCUGUGGUAUAGGUUGCAGACCUGGCUUGGACCCCAAGUUUCUGUGGCUGUGAUUUCAACCAGCCACUGCAGCUCUGAUUCGACUCCUAGGAAAAAAAGAAAAAAAAAA
rnacentral:lncRNA from 1 species